rnacentral:rRNA from 1 species
GACGAACGCUGGCGGCGUGCUUAACACAUGCAAGUCGAACGGUAAGGCCCUUCGGGGUACACGAGUGGCGAACGGGUGAGUAACACGUGGGUGAUCUGCCCUGCACUUCGGGAUAAGCCUGGGAAACUGGGUCUAAUACCGGAUAGGACUCCUGGCUUCAUGGCUGGGGGGGGAAAGCUUCUGCGGUGUGGGAUGGGCCCGCGGCCGAUGAGCUUGUUGGUGGGGGAAUGGCCUACCAAGGCGACGACGGGUAGCCGGCCUGAGAGGGUGACCGGUCACCAUGGGACUGAGAUACGGCCCAGACUCCUACGGGAGGCAGCAGUGGGGAAUAUUGCACAAUGGGCGCAAGCCUGAUGCAGCGACGCCGCGUGAGGGAUGACGGCCUUCGGGUUGUAAACCUCUUUCAGCUAUGACGAAGCGCAAGUGACGGUAGUAGCAGAAGAAGGACCGGCCAACUACGUGCCAGCCGCCGCGGUAA